AUAAAGCAACUUUUGGCUUGUGUUUCUCUAAAACUCGAAAUAUUUCACCAAUUCUUUUAUUAGUAUUGACAAGUCUUGGAGUUUACUUUGAAUCAAAAUGGCUGGAAAUAUGACAGGAAUACUCUCCAAAACCAGGCUUUCCUUUUGUCUCAUUUCCAGAAAUGUAGGCUAAGGCGUACGAUCCGGCCUUUCCCUGGAUUCCGUGCAUAGCGAGAACUUAGUGCACGGAGAGGGUAUGGUGCAGCAGUAUCACAAGCAGAAACAGAGUCUACAAAAAGGACUUUAAAGAGUAAAGGAAAACAAGAGGAAGAGAAGGCAACUUCAGAGUCAUUAUCAUGGGUACCAGACUCCAUUACUGGAUAUUACAAGCCUUCGGGUCAGACUAAUGGGCCUUCGGGUCAGAUUAGUGGGCCUACAGGUCCAAGACAAGAGGAGUAAACAAUGAAUGAUACAACAAUCCAAAAGAAAAUUAUUGCUUAUCAAUAAUAAUGAAAGAAGAAAGUGGUUGGCAAUGACCCUUUUGUCUAACAGUAUUGAUUAUGUGUUUAUAUCAAAUCUAAAUAUUUAUAUAUAUAUGUUUAGUAUGUAAAAGAUUGGAGGGGAGCCUUGGAGCGACGGUCAAGUUAUCUCCGUAUGACCUAUAGGUCACGGGUUUGAGCCGUGGAAUCAGACACCGAUGCUUGCAUCCUACAUCACACCCCUUAAGGUGCGGCCCUUUCCUAAACCCUGCGUGAACGCAUGAUACUUUGUGCACUAGGCUGCCCUCUUUAGGAUGUAAAGAUUGAUGAUCGUCACUAGUCACUUUCAGAUGCUUUUAUUUUUGUUAUGUUUUGUUUUUGGUAUUUUAAUUCUAAUUGAUGAAUCGGAUUUGAUUUUGAGAUAAUUGUUUUAAGUUUGUUAUUGAGAGAAUUUGUCUUGAAUA